rnacentral:rRNA from 1 species
UGGGGAAUUUUCCGCAAUGGGCGAAAGCCUGACGGAGCAAUGCCGCGUGAGUGAAGAAGGCCUUCGGGUUGUAAAGCUCUGUCCUAACCGAAGAGAGCGCUAGAGAGUAACUGCUCAAGCGAGGACGGUAGGUUAGGAGGAAGCCCCGGCUAACUACGUGCCAGCAGCCGCGGUAAAACGUAGGGGGCAAGCGUUGUCCGGAAUCACUGGGCGUAAAGGGCGCGCAGGCGGUAUGUUAAGUCUGAUGUGAAAUUUCGGGGCUCAACCCCGGACCUGCAUCAGAUACUGGCAGACUUGAGUACGGAAGAGGUAAGUGGAAUUCCUAGUGUAGCGGUGAAAUGCGUAGAUAUUAGGAAGAACACCAGUGGCGAAGGCGACUUACUGGGCCGUAACUGACGCUGAGGCGCGAAAGCGUGGGGAGCAAACA